GUCUACUUUAAAGCAGAUUGCAACAAAGACCUUGCAGGCGAGGCUGAGUGAUGGCAAUAUUGUAAUUUAUACACCCACAUUCGUAGAAACUCGCACACGCAAACAGGCAGACAGCUCUCGUAGUUCAAUGUGAGGAACAAUCUCCUGCAUUUUGUUUGUGCUUCAACCACGGGACGUGUAGGAAGGAGACGGGAGGAAUCGGCGAACCGCACGGAUGGCUCCUUCGCUUUCUGAAGGGCCAAGAAAGAACCGGAGAGGCCUUCUCGCUUCUCUGCCCUAGCAGCAUCCCGCGUCACGGCGUUCAAUUAACAGCCUCUAAAAUAGGCAACCGCCGCGCUGAAAGUCAUUUGCAGGCUUCAGCCCCAAAACAAACCCUUCCAAAUUCUUAGCACAACUCUCUGCGCUGUGUACACCGGAGCGGGGGGGAUUCCUAGCGCCGCACGGGAGGGGGGAGGUAAUUUGGAAGGGACUCAAAGAGCCGCUGGCUCUCUUUUUGCGGCCGAAUUUCCAGGCAGUUAAACUUCUCCGACCACUGUGACAUCUGCAGCGUUGCCAGUCGCAGAGAAACUCUUUCCCUUCCUCCCAGCCCAGCCCCCUCCAUCCAUCAGUAAAGGUGCUGGGCGGGGAGGAAGCAAAACAACAACAACAUCAAAGAAGCAGAAUGUGAGGGAGGGAAACGAGGGGAACACAGGGGCGAGAAAGAAGGGGAAGAGACCCGAAGGCACAGGCGGGCAACCCUAUCGGGCUGGGAGUCCUCGCUUUCUCAAAGCGCCUCCCCUUUUCGGGAAGACCUGGGUUCAGGUCGGCCUUGACCGAAGGCACAAAAAGGUCGCAGUCCGAAGUGUAAAUGGGACUCCGAAGGGAGAGAGGCGUGUGGCUCUGCGGAUCCCCAAGCAGAGACUGGGAGGAUCGAUAACUAAAUUAAGGGGACACUGGAUCGUAGGUCUGGUUUUUUUUUCUUUCUUUCUUUCUUUCUUCCUGUUUGCCCCGGGAAACUGGAAGCCCAACUAGAUCGGGGCGAUUGCUUUGUCGGUGCCAGAAACUCGGUCAAACUCUCUGGCGCGGCUUCCUUCCUCCUCCCCGGGAGUCGGUGCAGCUCCUCCGCCCCUCCAAGCUCCUUGGCCUUCCCGCCCUGGUGGCUCCGGGGGCGGAGGGAGGAAAUUGAGGGUGGGGAGCGGAGAGGACAGCCGCGAGGGAACUUUUCAUUCCGCCCUUCUGGUUCGUUCACCCGUUCCCCUCCCCCACCACAAGCUGUCUGACAGGAAAAUAAAAGGAAAGAAAAAAGAAAACAGGAAAGUUAACCAGCCAACGGAGGUGGGGGGAGGAGUGACAGGCGGAGCGGGAUGAAGGAGAAAAGGCAGAGACCCACCGAGCUAAUAAUGGUGUCCGGCUGCAUAAGGGGGAGCCUUGAAACGGGCCCGGCGAAGCUGCUGGGGAGGAAGUGGAAGCCGCGAGCGAAGGAGGCUGCUGGAGGGGAAGGGGGAGGGGAAGUGAGGCAGCGCCAUCUUUUCGUGUCACACAGUCCCAGAGACUGACUGCCUCGUAGUCCAGGCGCCGCCGCCGCCGCCGCCGCCGCGCUCCGGCUUAUCGCUCGUUCGCUGCCUUGCUUCUCGCCACUGGAAAGAGUGCCUUUGAGUAGCCUCAUAGGGGGAGGCUCACAGCCCUGCAGUGUACAGAGCAGGGCAGACAAACACUCCCCCCCCCCACAGCCUCCCGCACCGGCCCCCCUUUCGCUCCGAGCUUUAGUCGCUGGCGUGGGGCAGCAACCAAGCCGACUCCGGGGCUUCCCUUCUCGUGCGCUGGCCCUUGACUUGAUUCCUGGACUUCUUGAUGACAAACAGGCUGAUCAUAGUUUUCCUGGAAUUCUGUAUAUUGGAUCUUCUUUCUUCUACUUUUCUUGUCUUGGUGUAAACGGUUUAUACGCGCUUUUAAAGACUGGGGUGAAAGGGGGUGGGGAUAUAAUUACCACUCGAGUGGGUGAUAAUAAAAUUUCAUUCAUUUUCACCGGGCUGGUUUAUGGUCCCUUUCCGAACUUGCUACUUUUCAUGGUCAUGAGCAAGACCUGUCCAGUUAGAAGCAGGUCCCAACGGAAUAUUACGUGACUUCCUGAAAAGCGUGUUUAGAUCCACAGUUCUCGUACGCAGUUAGCUGGAAGUUUUUUUCCGAACAAGGAUCGGAAGUAAGAAUCGGAGACGGCCGCACAAUACCGCUCAGGUUUCUUACAAAGCCAGACCCAUAAUGCUCAGUGGGGCUUGCUCCAAAGCAUAUGCAUAUAGAUUGUUGGCAUACUUAGCAAUGCCUACUGUGCCUUUCCUCACUAGAGAUGUAUCUCAUCACCCAGCCAUAGUUGUCGCGAUAUAAAGCCUGUAAUGAAGGGAAGCCUGGGUUCACUGCUAACGUAUCGGCCAAGCACUGGUUGGUUGACACGAUAGAUAAAUCUCUGUAAUGAGGAACGGUGCUACCCCACUCCUGUGAUAAAUGGUCAUGGAAUGCGCGCGCACCCCUCCCCACUUCUUGAGGUACAGAGUUAUUUCCUGUAGAUUGCGUCUUGUGAAUUCCAGCCACCGCUGAAAUGCAGUAAAGAACCACGAGUCGCGAGCGGAAGAACCGAAUAAGCGAGUAUCAGUCAAGAUGGGCGUCACAAACCCGACCUACUAAGUCAAAAAUACCACUCUCGCAGCCGAUCCGCCAAAGGAGCAGCGUCCCAGCGAUCCAAAUUGUACUGAGGGAAGCCGGCGUGCGAAGCGCUCCCCGCGAUUUCCACGUCACAUAGAAAGAAACGUGUUUGGAAAUUUCAGAGCCAGUAACCGAGCGUCGCCUUUCAGAAAUCAAACGAAGGGGAAGCCGUUUGUUAUUCCGGAAAGUAGCUGCUGAAAAACGAAUGUUUCUCAUUACAACAGAAAGGCUCGGGGCAACGGGGCGGGGGCGGAAAGACAGAGAGCAUCCCACGAUGGGACAAAAAUAGCGAAUAGGGAAGACGAGCCAAAUGAGGAGCUGUGGGUGCAGAGCUGAUUGACAAAACACGGGAGGAGGGAGACACUCGAGGAGAAACGACGGUUUGUAUGCUUCUGGAGAAGCGAGAGGAUGGAAAGCGGUUCGUUUGGAGGCAGACUUAAAAGUACAGGUUGGAAGGAAGGCAGAGCACACGCCGUUCCCUA